rnacentral:rRNA from 1 species
UAAUAAGCCCUUAGAGUUUGAUCCUGGCUCAGGACGAACGCUGGCGGCGCGCCUAACACAUGCAAGUCGAACGAGCGAGAGAGAGCUUGCUUUCUCGAGCGAGUGGCGAACGGGUGAGUAACGCGUGAGGAACCUGCCUCAAAGAGGGGGACAACAGUUGGAAACGACUGCUAAUACCGCAUAAGCCCACGGUGCCGCAUGGCACAGAGGGAAAAGGAGCAAUCCGCUUUGAGAUGGCCUCGCGUCCGAUUAGCUAGUUGGUGAGGUAACGGCCCACCAAGGCAACGAUCGGUAGCCGGACUGAGAGGUUGAACGGCCACAUUGGGACUGAGACACGGCCCAGACUCCUACGGGAGGCAGCAGUGGGGAAUAUUGCACAAUGGGGGAAACCCUGAUGCAGCGACGCCGCGUGGAGGAAGAAGGUCUUCGGAUUGUAAACUCCUGUUGUUGGGGAAGAUAAUGACGGUACCCAACAAGGAAGUGACGGCUAACUACGUGCCAGCAGCCGCGGUAAAACGUAGGUCACAAGCGUUGUCCGGAAUUACUGGGUGUAAAGGGAGCGCAGGCGGGAAGACAAGUUGGAAGUGAAAUCUAUGGGCUCAACCCAUAAACUGCUUUCAAAACUGUUUUUCUUGAGUAGUGCAGAGGUAGGCGGAAUUCCCGGUGUAGCGGUGGAAUGCGUAGAUAUCGGGAGGAACACCAGUGGCGAAGGCGGCCUACUGGGCACCAACUGACGCUGAGGCUCGAAAGUGUGGGUAGCAAACAGGAUUAGAUACCCUGGUAGUCCACACCGUAAACGAUGAUUACUAGGUGUUGGAGGAUUGACCCCUUCAGUGCCGCAGUUAACACAAUAAGUAAUCCACCUGGGGAGUACGACCGCAAGGUUGAA